rnacentral:rRNA from 1 species
CCGAAGCGAAAGCGAGUCUGAAUAGGGCGAAAGUUGCAUGACGUAGACCCGAAACCGGGUGACCUAUCCAUGAGCAGGUUGAAGUGGAGGUAAAGCUCCAUGGAGGACCGAACCAGACGUCUGUUGAAAAAGGCGGGGAUGACUUGUGGAUAGGGGAGAAAUUCCAAUCGAACCCGGAGAUAGCUGGUUCUCCUCGAAAUAGCUUUAGGGCUAGCCUCAUGGAUCAUUGAUGGGGGUAGAGCACUGAAUGUGCGCGGGGGCCACAAAGCCUACCAAACGCUAUCAAACUUCGAAUACCAUACAAUGCAGACCAUGGGAGUCAGUCCGCGAGAGAUAAGUUCCGCGGGCAAAAGGGGAACACCCCAGAUCAACCGCUAAGGUCCCCAAGUUCACGUUAAGUGGAGAAGGAUGUGGAAUUGCACAGACAACCAGGAUGUUGGCUCAGAAGCAGCCACACAUUUAAAGAGUGCGUAAUAGCUCACUGGUCGAGUGAUUGUGCGCCGAAGAUGUCCGGGGCUAAACGUGACACCGAAGCGAUGGGUGCAUCUGAAAGGAUGCGCGGUAGAGGAGCAAUGUGCAGAGGCAGAAGCCGUAUCGAGAGGCACGGUGGACACUGCACAAGAGAGAAUGCCGGUAUGAGUAGCGAGAGGCAUGCGAGAAACAUGCCCGUCGAAAGCCCAAGGUUUCCUGGGGAAGGUUCAUCCGCCCAGGGUAAGUCGGGGCCUAAGCCGAGGACGGAAGUCGUAGGCGAUGGACAGCAGGUGUAGAUUCCUGCACUACCGAUGGAAUGAAGCAGUGACACAGAAGGAUAACUCGAGCAGGGUGAUGGUCAACCCUGUGCAAGCAUCAAGGUUGGGUUGUAGUGAAGUACGCAACCCUACAAGCUGAGGUGUGAUGCGGACCGAAAUUUCAGUAGGGAAGCGAGUGAGUUCACGCUGGCGAGAAAAGCUGCUAGUACAUCCAAAGGUACCCGUACCGGAAACCGACGCAGGUGGGCGAGGAGAGAAUCCUGAGACGAACGGGAGAACCCUUGUUAAGGAACUCGGCAAAAUGACCCCGUAACUUCGGGAUAAGGGGUGCCUGCGAGAGCAGGCCGCAGAGAAUAGUCACAAGCGACUGUUUAGCAAAAACACAGGUAUCUGCGAAAGCGAGAGCUGACGUAUAGGUGCUGACACCUGCCCGGUGCUGGAAGGUUAAGGGAACAUGUUAGAGCAAUCGAAGCAUCGAACCGAAGCCCCAGUAAACGGCGGCCGUAACUAUAACGGUCCUAAGGUAGCGAAAUUCCUUGUCGGGUAAGUUCCGACCC